rnacentral:rRNA from 1 species
AACGAACGCUGGCGGCAGGCCUAACACAUGCAAGUCGAGCGAACCCUUCGGGGUUAGCGGCGGACGGGUGAGUAACGCGUGGGAAUAUGCCCUUCUCUACGGAAUAGUCUCGGGAAACUGGGGGUAAUACCGUAUACGCCCUUUGGGGGAAAGAUUUAUCGGAGAAGGAUUAGCCCGCGUUGGAUUAGGUAGUUGGUGGGGUAAUGGCCUACCAAGCCUACGAUCCAUAGCUGGUUUGAGAGGAUGAUCAGCCACACUGGGACUGAGACACGGCCCAG